GACGAACGCUGGCGGUGUGCUUCACACAUGCAAGUCGAACGAGGUAGCAAUACCUAGUGGCGGACGGGUGAGUAACGCGUGGGAAUCUGCCUUUAGAUGGGGGAUAACGGGUCGAAAGACUCGCUAAUACCGCAUAUGACGAAAGUUGAAAGGAGUAAUCCGUCUAAAGAUGAGCCCGCGUCCGAUUAGCUAGUUGGUAGAGUAAAAGCCUACCAAGGCGACGAUCGGUAGCUGGUCUGAGAGGAUGAUCAGCCACAAUGGGAACUAGAGACACGGCCCAUACUCCUACGGGAGCAGCAGUGGGAAUUUACGCAAUGGGCGAAAGCCUGACGUAGCGACACCGCGUGAGCGAAGAAGCCCCUUGGGGUGUAAAGCUCUGUCAGCUGGAACGAAAAAAUGACGGUACCAGCAGAGGAAGCAAUCGGCUAACUACGUGCCAGCAGCCGCGGU
rnacentral:rRNA from 1 species